rnacentral:lncRNA from 1 species
AUUUGUACCUGUGCAUGAUAUAUUUUGGUCCCUCUAGUUCUGUGAGGAAGAAGGGGAGAAAUAUUUGACUUCAUCCUCCAGUACAGCAAAGAAAGAAGAUAAGCAAAACCAUCAAAUGUACAUAUUAAAAUAAUCUGAACAUUCAUUUCUUAUUACAAAAAUGAAAUGGUUAAUGUAAUUUUGAAAUAUAAACCUCAUACCAAGAAUUUCUUUCAUGAUGGUCUGUGAGAAGUGCUAAUUAAUACUAAUUUUUAAGAUCAUUACAACUAUUA